UUUAAAUCUCCUUCCUUGCUAUCCUUUGUUAGAGCACUCUGUAGAUGAUCUGUUUCUCCCAGCUCUUCUAGCAUUUCGUCAGCUAACAUAUCCAUCUCUUCAAUCCAGAAAAUAUUUCUUUCUAUCGUAGGCUUCUUCAUGGUGUUGGUGAUAUCGAAGGUCAUCUUGAGAUCUCUCCCGAGGUUAAGAUCAAUUUUUCCCUUCUUAACAUCAAUGAUAGCUCCAACUGUAACUAAAAAUGGUCUUCCCAAUAUCAAAGGGUCUUUGGGUUCUUCAUCCAUUUCUAAAACCACAAAGUCUGUCGGUACUUCGACCAUGCCUAUCAUGACUGGUAAGUCCUCCAGCAGACCAUGGGGAAUCCUAACAGAUCUGUCAGCUAGGAUCAAGGAUAUAUUGCAGGGCUUGUACUUGUUGAAGCCCAGUUUCUUUGCCACAGAGAGAGGCAUGAGACUCACAGAUGCACCUAGAUCACAGAGGCACUUGUUGAAGGCUAAAGGGCCUAGAGCGCAAGGUAAGGUGAAGGAACCAGGAUCUCCUAGUUUUUUUGGAAUGAUCUUCUGCUGAAUGAUCGCACUGCAUUCGUGACUUAGCACCACCAUUCCUUGGACUUCUUUGAUCCUCUCUGUAAUCAUGUCUUUCACAUAUUUGUUAGAGUCUGGUAUAAGUGCAAGACAGUCGACAAGAGGCAUCGUGACUUCAAGAUUUUUCAAUUGUUUCUCCAGGAGAGCUUUGUACUUCUGUAUCAUGACCUUCUUGAAUCGACCAGGAAAUGGGAGUGGGGGCUUGUAAGGUGGGGGAACGAAGACGUUGUCUUUGGUUUUGGUGGCAGCUGGUUUUUCAACAAGAGGAGAUGCUGCAGGAGCUAGUAGUCGAGUAGGUUGGUCGAGUAUAGGCUCUUCUAUUGCUUUUUCAGCGGAAUUUCCAUUUUGACAGAAAUCCUCCCCAUCUUGAUCCACACUGUCCUCAGUGUUCUGGUUCGGGCUCUCUUUUGUGGGUAAUUCUUUACCGCUUCUAAGUGUGAUAGCAUGAGCGUACUCCUCUGAAUUUGACAUUGAUUUUCUGGAAGGUCCUGUAAAUUUGGGUGCUGCGGUCGACCCAGUUUGGCCUUCUAUGUAUCUAAUCUUAGAUGUCAGUGCUUCAACCUUGAUAUUGAUAUCAUUGUAACUGCAGUCAACCUUGUUGUGAAUUUCUGCCAUCCUUUUGGACAGAUCCAUUGCUCCUGUUGCUUGCCCUUGUAGAAUCUGCUGUAACAUGUUCUUCAGGUCUGAAUCUGGAGUUGUUGAAGCUGGUUGUUGUUGCUGCUGUGUGAACCCAGGUGGUGGAAGUUGCGGCUGAUAGUUGCCCUGAUACUGCUGCUUAGGAACAUACCCUUGACCUUGGUUGUAUGGAACAAAGGGCCUGGGUUGAUUCUGCUGCUGUGAAGGGUAAACUUGGUCCUGCGGGUUUGCAACGUUUGUACUUCUGUAAGACAGAUUGGGAUGGUUCUGCUUGAAGUUGUUGAAACCUUUGUUGUAACCUCCUUGGUUCUGCACAUAACUGACCUCUUCUGACUGCAUAGUCUCCCCAUCCUGAACUUGGAACGUCUCAUCAUCACCCAGAAAAUGAAUGUGCUUCUGUUGCACAAGCAGUAGCUUGUCCAGUUUGUCAUUCAUGGCUUUCAUUUCCCUGCGGUGCUUCUCAUCAGAAUCAGAGCUGGUGCGGACGCUUCUAUCAUAAUCUUCAUUAUAGUUGCCAUCCGACUGAGCUAAGUUCUCUACCAGCUCCCAUCCGUCUUCAACGUCUUUGUUGAGAAAGUUCCCGUUAGAAGCGGUAUCUAGAAGCAUCCUGAUCUUUGGGAGGACACCUCUGUAGAGAGUGCUGAGAAGCGAAGCUUUGGAGAAACCAUGAUGAGGACAUUGCGUCUGAUAACCUUUGAAGCGCUCCCAUGCUUCACAGAAAGUCUCAUUAUUCGUCUGAGUGAAACCGGAGAUAUCAUUCCUUAGUCUCGCAGUCCUGGAGUUUGAGAAAAACUUAGCCAAGAAGGCUUUCUUGCAGUCAUUCCAGGAGGUGAUAGAGCCUUGAAGAAGCGACUUUUCCCACUGAUGGGCUUUGUCUCCAAGAGAGAAAGGAAACAAUCUGAGCUUGAAGCCAUCCUCACUGACUCCAUUGAUCUUUGUUAGGCUGCAGAGCCUAUCAAACUCGUCCAGGUGAUCGAGUGGAUCCUCCAUAGGGAGGCCGUGGAACUUGUUGCUCUGAACCAUGGCAAUGAGACCGCUCUUGAUCUCAAAGUUGUUGUUCUGCACAGGUGGAGGCACGAUGCCAUUACGCUGAUUGUGGUUGCGUGGUGCAUCGCCUGCACCUAUGUUGUUUGGUUGCACCUGCUCAUCAACAACUGCAGCCAUUGUGUCUGUUUCUGUCUGUGUUCUGAGUUGGCGUGCAAUACGGUCGAUGUUAUCGUUGAACAGGAGAUUCUGAUUUCCUCGUGACCGUGUUUGCAUACAACGAGUACCAACUGGUGAAGCUAGUGAUUCGUAGUACCUGAAUCAAAACAGACAAACAGAAAUAACACAAAGUUAGUAACUUUCAGAAAAAAUGAAAAAGAACUUGAUCUUAAAUAUUCUGAAAUCUCGAAUAUAGCAAACAAACACCCAAUUGGCAACGGCGCCAAAUUGAUAAUAAGUUUUUAGUCAAUUAUUCCUAAAACACCAAUCAUGUUGUUGUACUAUUUUAGGUGUCAAUCCAAAUGGGUGUGAUGCAAACAGAUGAGAUGUGAUCAGAAGUCACUAAGUCAAGCCAAGCAAUAACAGUUUUGGGGUUUCUAACAGUCCUAAGCGAACAUGCAGAAAACAGAAGCAAUAACAGAAUUACUAAAAUCACUCGACCACAACAGGCUGAUGCCAGAAGUAGGAUGUGGUCGAGUAACAGGUCAAGUAAUAGACAGGAUAUGAAACAGCUAUACUCGACUGCACAGUCUGUUGCCAGACACUGGGUGUGGUCGAGUAAGUUGGUCGAGUGAUUGUAAAAACUAAGAAACAGGCAAUGAGAACGAUUAAGCGAUAACGAUAAAACAGAGAAAUAAGAUAGACGAGAAAUUCCUAAGGAUGGGGUAAUCGAGUAGAGUGGUGUCCUAGCCUAUUCGAAUGGUUAACAAGCGCAAUCAAGCUAUCCCUAGACAACAGGUUCAACAACAGACCAAUUCACUCCCGUGAUAGAAAUCCUCAAGCAAAGCUAGCCCAGACUAAUUCCCAUUAACGGAAUCUAACUAUGCAGGCAAUACGAACAGACUGAUAAAGUCAAUAAACGCUCUAAACGGCCAAUCCCUUGGGAUAGAGACGCAUAUCUCAGGAACUAGUGGAUCAAGCAUUCCAUCGAACACCUUCUGGGUGCGGGAAUGCUUGGGAUCGAAUUCCAGUUGAUCAGAAAGAAAUAAGCAGUAAACGCAACUAGUCCUAAAGGGAUUCAAUCAAUUCUGAAACUUAACCAUUCUACAGACUACGGAUUCCACAACUACUCUAUCCCAUCCCUAAGAAUUCUAAGUCACUACUCAGACAACAUGCUCAAAGACAUAAACGCAGAUAAACGAUAAUAUUGCAUAAGUAAAGAGAUAAAGAGUAGAGAAACAAGAUGACUAAUGAAAUCAAACGCGGAAUCUCAAUAACUUGGAAAAAUCGCGAACUACAGGUUGUAGAAGCAAAAGCGGCGCAGCAGAGUAAAACUAAAAAUAAAACUGAAGCAAAAACGCAAUGUCGACUAGAUGUCUCAGGACAGAACCCUAAAACAUCUAUUUAUACCAAACGAAAUAAAAUGAUAGUAGACGGGCCAAUAACCUAAUCGCCCGGCCCAUAGAGUGAUAAUGGGCCGAGAUGGGCUUCGUGAUCCGAUGGAGGUCCAGGCCGCUUCCAAACACUUUGUCUUCUCCUCUUCUCUUCCUUGUGCUCAGCUUGUCUGGUUGAGUGCGGAUUUGAGUAGACUGUGAAGAAGUGAUCGAGUGUCCGGUCGAGUGAUGGUGAUGGUGGUGAGUGAUGAUACUCGACCAUGGGGUCGAGUAACGUGGUAGAGUGAAUGGUCGAGUGUAGUCAGGUGGUGUGGCGAAGUGAGACUCGACCAGGGGGUCGAGUAAUGUCAUCGAGUGGCCUGAGCUGAGGUUACUCGACCUGGUGGUCGAGUGGAUGGGAAGAAUGGCUCCAAAGUCACUCGUCCUGGGGGUCGAGUAUGUCUUCUGGUUCUGGCUCGUUUCUUCCAAUUUGCUCGCAAACAGCUCCAAAUCACCUGAAAACAACUCAGAAAUGCAAUAUGCAUGCAAAGCUAUCCUAAUCAUGCAAAGUAUGCAAGAAUGAUGAGAAAUGAUAUAAAACAGUGAUGAAUGAUACGAAACUGGACUCAAAACGAUGAUGAAUGGACACUGAAAACAUGCAAAUUAUAGACAUAUCAGAACCUGCUAUGGAAAAACAGAAAUCUGAAAUGGAUUGUGAUAAAGAAGAGAAUGCUGAGGAUUGUUUUGGAGAGCUUGUGCCUGAGAGGUUUAUUGUUGAAAUGAGGAGGUCUUUCAAGGAGCUGGAAGACCAAAUGUAUCAAAUGCAUGAAGAUAUGAAAGACUUUGUCCGUGACCAGAUACGUGCUGCCCUUGAUCCAAAAGGCAAAAGGCCAGAACAAACCAUACCUUCCCAUGAUUCGCGGGAACCACCUACUUCUAUGGAUAAGGCACCGGUUACUGGGAAGAAGCCAUCGAGAAGGAUGUCUACAAAAGGAAGCACUGAAACGAGAAAGUCUUCAAGGCUGACUCGUGUUUCUCAUGAUGUGGACACUCCUGCACUUUCUGUUGGCUGUAAUUCCAAAGAGGAAGAUUUGGAUGUCCCUGGAGUACAUACCACUGCUGUCGAAGGAAGAAGAAAACCGUCAAAGCCGAAGAAAAAUGUUUCUUUUGCUGUUGACACUACUGAGCUACCUGAUUCCAAUAAGGAAGAUAUGCAAGGAUUCAUUGAUGAACAGGUAAGUCAUGUACGUACAUUGCUAAAUAUUUUAUAAUCCAUAUGUAUAACUAUACUGCCUGCUUCGAUACAGUAUGGCGCUAAUAAUGAAAGUGAUUUUACUGCAAAUGAUAGAUUAGAUUCUUCGGCCGCUGAAGAAGAGAUAUUAGACACUGGAUUUUUAAUAGUUCCUUAUGCUGGAUCCACACAAUCCCAUCUGGUAUGUCGUCUACUAAUACUCUUCACAAUCUGUUUAAAUGGUGUACGUACAUAUUCGCUUAAAAAGUUAGUUAAACUAUGUUUCAGGAUAGAGGAAAUGUUGUUGUUUGUAAGACUGUCUUCUUAGGUUCAAUGUCUGGGACUGUCUAUGUUACACAGGAAGAGAGACCUGUGGAAGAAGCUACUGUUGACACCGAGAUGGAAGAAGUUCCAUCUAAUGAGUCUGCAAGAGUUUCAGAGGUAGAUCUUCUGGUAAUCGUUAUAUACAGAUUUCCAUGACUAUAUGCAUAUAUAUUACAUUAAUUUCUCCACUUAUCUAACGCUUAACUCUAUGGUAGCCUAUCUUUCAGGAUAAUGGACCAAAGGAUGUUGCUGAACCUGGCUUAGUUGGUACCCAUACAGGGGCCGAUGAAAUAGCUGAUGCAGACAUAGAGAUGGUAGACAAUCCAUCAGGUUUACCUUCAACAUCUGCACAGGUAUGUGUUAGUCACUUGUUCUUUUUCCAUAUGUGUACGCCCAUAAGACUUUGAAAAUUAUUUUUGUUUCAGGAAGAAGCAAGAGAUGCCAGUGCAUCGACUGAAGCUAAUGGCAACGAGUCAGAAGAAACUUAUGAGCCUUCUGAUGGAGAUAUAGCUCACAUACCUGGCACAAGUGUACGUACAUUUUUGUCACUAUGUUCUGUGUACAUAUAUAUUGUUUCAUACAUUACUAAAAAGUUUCUUUCCGAUGAUAAAUUCUACAGGUUGAGGCGGCAGGAGAAUCCAAAUUAGUGACAGGGAUGGAAGUUGAAAUACCUGAGAAGACUCACAGUGAUCCCCCGUCACCAUUUCAAGUAGUUAACAAUGUAAGCUAACUCU
rnacentral:sRNA from 1 species